UGUGGUAGACACAUGGAUAAGGUAAAGGUAACACUAUGCGUAUCGGUGGUGAUUGGACGACCAGAAGGAAUUCUCAUUCGAUCACAUAGUGAGAAACACUUUCAGCCGAAGAGUGCGAUUAGACGAUCCAAGAUCGUUCCUGCCCAAGUGAAUUGAACUAUUGUGGUCUUUUUCUACCUAAACAUAUCAGACAGUCUAAAUGAACUUCCACUCGAAUUUUGAAUCAAUACUCUAGAUUUCCUUCUAACUAACCCGAUUGUGCAAUCUAGAUUUUAUGAAGUACAAAUGGUCCAUAUCUGUGUUAGGUAGAAUCCAACGGGCAUGAUUCAGGGAGAUAUGAAAUGACAAAAAUGGGUUCAAUGAAACCCUAGAUUAGACGAUUGAGGUUUAAAAGGUCAAGGUCGAAUGGCUACGUGUUGAUUUCACACCUCAAAAGAUGAAAAUGCUUUCCUUUUGAUCCAACAUCCAGAUCUUUAGAGAUAUUGAUCAUAUGGCCCAUUCCUAGGGUAUAAAAAUAAACCCUAGAUUGGUCUCCCCAUUUUGCGAGAGAGCUGCUGCUGAAAAGAGAGAGAGAGUAACAGAAGAGAUCGAGCAAAAGAAGGAGAGACUGUUUGAGGAAAUUUCUAAUGCAAUGUCGCCACGAAAGAGUGAUGAAUCAGGUGUUAAGAGAG
rnacentral:lncRNA from 1 species